GCUAAGCAGGGUGGGGCCUGGUUAGUACUUGGAUGGGAGACCACCUAGGAAGACCAGGUGCUGUAGGCG
rnacentral:rRNA from 1 species